rnacentral:rRNA from 1 species
GUUGCGGUUAAACAAUAAAAUUUAAAAAAUUUUUGUUCACAUUAAUAGUAUAAUCAAUUUAGAAAUAAAAUUAAAAAUUUAAGGUAAAAUUUUAUUUUUAAAAUAUUUUUCUUUUAAUUUAAAUUAAGAAACUUAAGAUAAAAAUCAGGAUUAGAUACCCUGUUAUUUGUGUUUAAAUGUGUUGGAGUAGUAAAAGUUAUGUUCUAGAAACUCAAAAAAUUUGGCGGUAUUUUAUCUUAUUAGAGGAACCUGUUUUUUAAUUGAUAUUCCACAACUUGAAUUUACUUUAAUUAUUAUAUUUGUAUACCGCUGUCAUGAAUAUAUUAAAAAAUUUAAUUUUCUAUUGGUUUUAUUUAAGUUAUGUUAGGUCAAGGUGCAGUUUAUUAAAGGUUUCAAUGGGUUACUUUAUUAAUAUGAAUGGAUAGAAGAAUAAGUAUAUUUUCUUAAAAUAGGAUUUAACAGUAAAUAUAUUUAAAGAAAUAAAAUGAAU